rnacentral:rRNA from 1 species
UACGGAAGGCAGCAGUGGGGAAUAUUGCACAAUGGGCGCAAGCCUGAUGCAGCCAUGCCGCGUGUAUGAAAAAGGCCUUCGGGUUGUAAAGUACUUUCAGUCGUGAGGAAGGUGUUAAGGUUAAUAACCUUAGCAAUUGACGUUAGCGACAGAAGAAGCACCGGCUAACUCCGUGCCAGCAGCCGCGGUAAUACGGAGGGUGCGAGCGUUAAUCGGAAUUACUGGGCGUAAAGGGCACGCAGGCGGUUAAUUAAGUUGGAUGUGAAAUCCCCGGGCUUAACCUGGGAAUGGCAUUCAAGACUGGUUAGCUAGAGUCUUGUAGAGGGGGUAGAAUUCCGAUGUGUAGCGGUGAAAUGCGUAGAGAUGUGGAGGAAUACCGGUGGCGAAGGCGGCCCCUGGACAAAGACUGACGCUCAUGUGCGAAAGCGUGGGGAGCAAACAGGGAUAGAUACC